GGAAUUUUGGACAAUGGGCGAAAGCCUGGUCCAGCAAUGCCGCGUGCAGGAAGAAGGCCUUCGGGUUGUAAACUGCUUUUGUACGGAACGAAAAGGCUCUUUUUAAUAAAGAGGGCUCAUGACGGUAACGUAAGAAUAAGCACCGGCUAACUACGUGCCCGCAGCCGCGGUAAUACGUAGGGUGCGAGCGUUAAUCGGAAUUACUGGGCGUAAAGCGUGCGCAGGCGGUUCUAUAAGACAGAUGUGAAAUCCCCGGGCUCAACCUGGGAAUGGCAUUUGUGACUGUAGGGCUAGAGUACGGUAGAGGGGGAUGGAAUUCCGCGUGUAGCAGUGAAAUGCGUAGAUAUGCGGAGGAACACCGAUGGCGAAGGCAAUCCCCUGGACCUGUACUGACGCUCAUGCACGAAAGCGUGGGGAGCAAAC
rnacentral:rRNA from 1 species